AGUCAAGUAAUUAAGUGCAUGUGGUGGAUGCCUUGGCAGUCAGAGGCGAUGAAAGACGUGAUAGCCUGCGAAAAGCUCCGGGGAGGCGGCAAAUAUCCUUUGAUCCGGAGAUGUCUGAAUGGGGGAACCCACCUACUUUAAGGUAGGUAUUGCAACAUGAAUACAUAGUGUUGCAAGGCGAACGAGGGGAAGUGAAACAUCUCAGUACCCUUAGGAAAAGAAAUCAAUUGAGAUUCCCUCAGUAGCGGCGAGCGAACGGGGAUCAGCCCAUUAAGUUAUGUGUGUUUUAGUGGAACGCUCUGGGAAGUGCGAACGUAGAGGGUGAUAUUCCCGUACACGAAAGGGCACACAUAAUGAUGACGAGUAGGGCGAGGCACGUGAAACCUUGUCUGAAUAUGGGGGGACCAUCCUCCAAGGCUAAAUACUCCUGACUGACCGAUAGUGAACCAGUACCGUGAGGGAAAGGCGAAAAGAACCCCUGUGAGGGGAGUGAAAUAGAUCCUGAAACCGCAUGCAUACAAGCAGUGGGAGCACCUUCGUGGUGUGACUGCGUACCUUUUGUAUAAUGGGUCAGCGACUUAUAUUCAGUAGCAAGGUUAACCGUAUAGGGGAGCCGUAGAGAAAUCGAGUCUUAAUAGGGCGUUUAGUUGCUGGGUAUAGACCCGAAACCAGGCGAUCUAUCCAUGAGCAGGUUGAAGGUUGGGUAACACUAACUGGAGGACCGAACCCACUGUCGUUGAAAAGCCAGGGGAUGACUUGUGGAUAGGGGUGAAAGGCUAAUCAAGCCUGGUGAUAGCUGGUUCUCCCCGAAAGCUAUUUAGGUAGCGCCUCGGACGAAUACCAUAGGGGGUAGAGCACUGUUUCGGCUAGGGGGUCAUCCCGACUUACCAAACCGAUGCAAACUCCGAAUACCUAUGAGUACUAUCCGGGAGACAGACUGCGGGUGCUAACGUCCGUAGUCAAGAGGAAAACAAUCCAGACCGCCAGCUAAGGCCCCAAAAUCAUAGUUAAGUGGGAAACGAUGUGGGAAGGCAUAGACAGCUAGGAGGUUGGCUUAGAAGCAGCCACCCUUUAAAGAAAGCGUAAUAGCUCACUAGUCGAGUCGGCCUGCGCGGAAGAUGUAACGGGGCUAAAACUAUGUGCCGAAGCUGCGGAUNNNNNNNNNNNNNNNNNNNNNNNNNNNNNNNNNAUGCUGGAGGUAUCAGAAGUGCGAAUGCUGACGUGAGUAACGACAAAACGGGUGAAAAACCCGUUCGCCGAAAGACCAAGGGUUCCAGUCCAACGUUAAUCGGGGCUGGGUGAGUCGACCCCUAAGGCGAGGCCGAAAGGCGUAGUCGAUGGGAAAAUGGUUAAUAUUCCAUUACUUCUGUGUAAUGCGAUGAGAGGACGGAGAAGGCUAAAUCAGCCUGGCGUUGGUUGUCCAGGUGAAAGGAUGUAGGCAUGUAUCUUAGGCAAAUCCGGGGUACUCUAUGCUGAGAUCUGAUAGCAAGCUGUACUUGUACAGCGAAGUGGUUGAUGCCAUGCUUCCAGGAAAAGUCUCUAAGCUUCAGUUACACAGGAAUCGUACCCGAAACCGACACAGGUGGUCAGGUCGAGUAGACCAAGGCGCUUGAGAGAACUCUGCUGAAGGAACUAGGCAAAAUGGUACCGUAACUUCGGGAGAAGGUACGCUGUUGUUGGUGAUGGAACUCGCUUCCUGAGCUGACGACAGCCGCAGAAACCAGGCCGCUGCAACUGUUUAUUAAAAACAUAGCACUCUGCAAACACGAAAGUGGACGUAUAGGGUGUGAUGCCUGCCCGGUGCUGGAAGGUUAAUUGAUGGGGUUAGCGUAAGCGAAGCUCUUGAUCGAAGCCCCAGUAAACGGCGGCCGUAACUAUAACGGUCCUAAGGUAGCGAAAUUCCUUGUCGGGUAAGUUCCGACCUGCACGAAUGGCAUAAUGAUGGCGGCGCUGUCUCCAGCAGAGGCUCAGUGAAAUCGAAAUCGCUGUGAAGAUGCAGUGUACCCGCGGCUAGACGGAAAGACCCCGUGAACCUUUACUGCAGCUUGACACUGAACUUUGACCUUACUUGUGUAGGAUAGGUGGGAGGCUUUGAAGCUGGAACGCUAGUUCCAGUGGAGCCGUCCUUGAAAUACCACCCUGGUAAUGUUGAGGUUCUAACUCUGUCCCGUGAUCCGGGACGAGGACCGUGUCUGGUGGGUAGUUUGACUGGGGCGGUCUCCUCCUAAAGAGUAACGGAGGAGUACGAAGGUGCGCUCAGCGUGGUCGGAAAUCACGCGUAGAGUAUAAAGGCAAAAGCGCGCUUAACUGCGAGACCCACAAGUCGAGCAGGUACGAAAGUAGGUCUUAGUGAUCCGGUGGUUCUGUAUGGAAGGGCCAUCGCUCAACGGAUAAAAGGUACUCUGGGGAUAACAGGCUGAUACCGCCCAAGAGUUCAUAUCGACGGCGGUGUUUGGCACCUCGAUGUCGGCUCAUCUCAUCCUGGGGCUGAAGCAGGUCCCAAGGGUAUGGCUGUUCGCCAUUUAAAGAGGUACGCGAGCUGGGUUUAGAACGUCGUGAGACAGUUCGGUCCCUAUCUACCGUGGGCGCUGGAAAUUUGAGAGGAUCUGCUCCUAGUACGAGAGGACCAGAGUGGACGAACCUCUGGUGUACCGGUUGUGACGCCAGUCGCAUCGCCGGGUAGCUAUGUUCGGAAGGGAUAACCGCUGAAAGCAUCUAAGCGGGAAGCCUACCUCAAGAUAAGAUUUCCCUAGGACUUUAUGUCCUCUAAAGAGCCGUUCGAGACUAGGACGUUGAUAGGUUGGAUGUGGAAGCAUAGUGAUAUGUGAAGCUGACCAAUACUAAUUGCUCGUGAGGCUUGACUAU
rnacentral:rRNA from 1 species